rnacentral:piRNA from 1 species
UGCUUUAGGAUACUUGAGUAAUAUUGGC